rnacentral:rRNA from 1 species
GACACUGAACAUUGAGCCUUGAUGUGUAGGAUAGGUGGGAGGCUUUGCAGUGUGGACGCCAGUCUGCAUGGAGCCAACCUUGAAAUACCACCCUUUAACGUUUGAUGUUCUACCCUAGGCCCAUAAACUGGGUCGGGGACCGUGUCUGGUGGGUAGUUUGACUGGGGCGGUCUCCUCCUAAAGAGUAACGGAGUAGCACGAAGGUUGGCUAAGCAUGGUCGGACAUCAUGAGGUUAGUGCAAAGGCAUAAGCCAGCUUGACUGCGAGAGUUACGGCUCGAGCAGGUACGAAAGUAGGUCUUUGUG